rnacentral:rRNA from 1 species
UUAAGCAUAUCAAUAAGCGGAGGAAAAGAAACUAACAAGGAUUCCCCUAGUAACGGCGAGUGAAGCGGGAAGAGCUCAAAUUUGUAAUCUGGUACCUUCGGUGCCCGAGUUGUAAUCUCGAGAAGUGUUUUCCGCGCCAGACCGCAUACAAGUCUGUUGGAAUACAGCGUCAUAGUGGUGAGAACCCCGUACAUGAUGCGGAUGCCUGGUGCUCUGUGAUACACUUUCGAAGAGUCGAGUUGUUUGGGAAUGCAGCUCAAAUUGGGUGGUAAAUUCCAUCUAAAGCUAAAUAUUGGCGAGAGACCGAUAGCGAACAAGUACCGUGAGGGAAAGAUGAAAAGCACUUUGGAAAGAGAGUUAACAGUACGUGAAAUUGUUGGAAGGGAAACGCUUGAAGUCAGACUUGCUAUUUGGAGUUCAGCCGCAAGGUGUAUUCUUCGAUGUGCAGGCCAGCAUCAGUUUUCCGGGGUGGAAAAGGGUCUUGAGAAGGUAGCAGUUUCGGCUGUGUUAUAGCUCUUGACUGGAUUCAUCCUGGGGGACUGAGGAACGCAGUACGCUUUUAGCGAGGCCUUCGGGCUUUUCGUACUUAGGAUGCUGGUGGAAUGGCUUUAAACGACCCGUCUG